CUGCGACGCUGAUGACAACGACAACCAAAUAUCCAUAAAGCAUCACAACAUGUCAAGGUAAAAUUGAACAUAAAAGAAGCAAUGUUGUACAUAAUGUUACCAUAUUGUUUACAUAGAAUGACACUUCUUUUGAACGAUGUAAUUUUAAAGAUUACAGACUGGCCACUAGAGUAACGUUGAAAAAGGAACAAGCUUCCUUUUAACGUUUUUCUAUUUGAGUCAAAAACAUUUUUUCUUAGAGAAAUGAUAAUAAUUUCCUGGUCUUAGACUAAGUUUAUUCUUUCAUUUGAAAAGUAUUCUACUGAUGGUCAACGUCUCAAACAUAGUACAUAGGUCUUGUAAAAUGUUUUGAUAACCUUGGCAUUUAACAAAAAUAUUAUUUCUUCUUGUUUAUUUUCUAGGUAAUCUUGUUGGCAAAGACAAAGACCACACAGAAAGUAUAGAUGACGGUUUUUAUGUUUUCUUAUCUUAUUUUUACAGACUUUCUUAAGGCAACACCAUUAUAACUAUAUGUUUAUGUUCUUACACAUGCCUUUAUGCACUAUAUCUACACUAUAUACAGGGUAACUUUGGAAACGUACAUCUAGUUAAUGAUAUAAACGGAUAACAGGCGUUCAUAAUUAUCUUGUCUGUGUGUUUGGUGUUUUUUUUUUCGUUUUGACAAGGUGUUGUUUGCAAUAGUGGUGGUUUGAGCUUUCAGUGUGGUCAUUUUUGGUUUUAUAUACGAUGGUAUGUGUUGUUUCGUCAAAAAAGGUUAUUUGAGGCGUUUUGUUUGAUAAUUUGGUGCGUUUUGUUUGUUUGUUUUUUGUGCGUUUUGUUUGAAUAUUUGAUGCGUUUUUUUGGGUUAUUUGAUGCGUUUUGUUUGGUAUUUGGUGAGUUUUGUUUGGAUAUUUGAUGUGCAUGUGUAUUUAUUUGGUGCGUUGUAUUGGGUUAUUUGGUGCGUUUUAUGGGAAGUAUCAAGAAUUCUGUUACGUUCUGAAAUAUCAUGCACAAGGUGAGUUUAUUUCUGCAUUUAUAAUUUAUAUACAUUAACAUGUUAAUCUAAGUAUUGUUUGUUUCUAUUCGGCAGGGAUGAAGCAGUUAGACAGACAUCUGGGGCAGACUUCAUCUGGGAUUGGAUAAAAACACGCAAACUUUCUAUGUUACUUCGGCUUUUUAUUCGUUUUGUUUUGUUGCCUUUUCCACUUUCAGGUUUUUUAUCUUGAGGAGUAAAGACACGUGCGAAUUUUGAAUCUGCAGCCCAGAGACGAUGUUGGAAUAUUUGGUGCAUUUUGUUGGAUUAUUUGAUAUGUUUUGUUGAGAUAUAUGUAUAUGGUACGUUUUGUUUAGUGAUUCAUUUUUGUUAUGUUUUUCUUCUUAAAGGGUGUCGAGGAUCUUGAAGAAUAAAGACACGCGCAAAUAUUGAAGAUGCAGACCAGACGUAAUGCGAGUUUCUCUCUACCAGGAAAAAGCAUGUGUAAUACAACUUAAUUGAACUAUUUUGUUUGCUUCUCUCAAAAACUGUCUGCAGGUAAAAACUUGUAUGAUUCUUUAAUUUGACAUUAUCCUAUUUUGUAUGCCUCUCUUCUAAAGCUUUCCCCAGUGUGUUUCGUACAGUGAAUAUGAUGUGAUAUGAGCCGCGCCAUGAGAAAACCAACAUAGUGCGGUUCCGACCAGCAUGGAUCCAGACCAGCCUGCGCAGUCUGGUCAGGAUCCAUGCUGUUCGCUAAUGGUUUCUCUAAUUGCUAUAGGUUUUCCCAUGGCGCGGCUCAUAUGUUUGUCGUUCUAUUUCAUUUAUCAGUAUAGUAUAAUAAAGAAAAGAGAUGACUUCUUAGAUAAAGAAGAUGUCAAUCAUGAUCAAUGUCCUUAGAAGACAACCUUGGAAUGCGGACUUAAGAGUGAGUGGUACACCUAUGGUGGCGGAUAUUGGCCAUUCCAGCACGUGUGUGCUUGUAACAGUUAAUUUAGUGGACAUUGUAGCUUGGUACUUCUUUCUAAUGAGGUAUUUAGUUUUAUUUUUUGCAAAAUAAAUUCAAGUAUUACUAAGUGUUUUGUCAACGUACGCAAAUAUUUUGAAAUGUGCAUCUUUUGAUUAAGCUUUGUGCAUUCAUUUUCUUUUUUUUUGAUAACUUUUCUAUAAAGUUUGCGUUUUGUCCGAUUAUUAUGUAUGUCCUAAUCAUGUUCUAUAUCGGACAGACGACUGGAACGCGCAUACUGAAGGUUGGGGGAACACACAUGAGCUAAAGAGUACAUUAUUGCAAAUACACGUAUGAGUAUGGUUUAUUUUUGUAUUUCUUAAUUGGUCAAACUAUAUAAAUUUUAAAUGUAUUUAAGAUUACUUUGCAGGCAUAACGGCGAAUAUCAGGUACAGACGACAUCUUGGAUUGACUAAACGCGCGCAAACAUUCUGUUUUGCUUCCGCGUUCUAUCUGUUUUCUUGCUUUUUUCUACUUUAAGGGUGUCGGGGAUCUUGAAGAAUAAAGACACAUGCGAAUAGUGAAGAUGCAGAUCGGACAUAAAAGUGAGCUUUUCUCUACCAGGAAAAAACAUGUAUAAUACAACUUAUAUUGACCGUUUUUGUAUGUUUCCCUCCGUAGCCUUCUCCAUAUUGUUUCAUACACUAAAUAUAAGUGACGUUUGUCGUCGUCCUUUUUCAUUUAUCAGUAAGGUCUUUUAGAAAAAGUGCAAGCCAUGACCGUGGAAUGCGGACUCGGGAGCGAGGGCUACAACUUUGGUGGCGAAUAUUGGCCAUUCAAGCACGUGUGUAGAUGCCACAAUGGUUUAGUUAACAGCACAGCUUGGUCCUUUUUCUUCAUCGUAACGAGGUAUUUAUACUUCUUUAAAAUUCAAACAGGUUUAUCAACGCACUCAAAUUUUAUAAAGUAUGCAGUUUUCGAUCAAAUUUUGUGCAUUCAUUUUCCAUUUUUGAUAAACUUUCUGUAAAUUUAGUGUUUUUUCGAUUGUUAUAUAUGUCCUAAUCGUCUUCUGUUUUGGACAGACGAUGCACACAGAAAGAGGACAGCCCACAUGGCAGAUUACAAGAUUUUGAGCGAAAGUGCACGUGCUAAGGAGUACAUUAUUACAAUGAGUAUGGUUUAUCUUUCUACUACUUUCAUGAUCAAACUGUAUAAACUUUAUUGAUGUACUGAAUAUGACUUUGCAGGCAUGACGGCGAAUAUCAGGAGCAGACGGCAUCUUGGCGCUGCUAAACGCACAGAAACGUUCUACUUUUGCCUCUGAUUUUUAUUUGUUUCCUUGUUUUUUUUCUGCUUUUAGGGUAUGGGGGAUCUUGAAGAAUAAAGGCAACGCGAACAGUGAAGACGCUGAUCAGAUAUAAUAACAUAACCGUGGAACGCAGACUCGACAGCGAGGGCUACAACUAUGGUGGCGGAUAUAGGUCAUUCAAGCACGUGUGUAGAUACCACAAUGGUUUAGUUAACAGCACAGCUUGGUCCUUGUUCUUCAUCGUAAUGAGACAGUGUGCACAGAGAAAAAGAGGACAUCCCGCAUGGCAGAUCACAAGAUUUUGAGUGAAAGUGCACGAGCUAGGGAAAGACAACCUAGACAUGUGGACUCAAGAGGGAAUGGUGCAACUAUGGUGGCGAAUAAUGGCUGUUUUAUGCGCGUGUGUGGAUGUCACAAUGGUGUAGUGGACAGAGCAGUUUGGACUUCUUACUUCUUCGUAACGAGUAAUUUAAGGUAUGGGAAUGCCGAUACAGGUCGUGAUUUGGGACGAGACGGAACUAUCCGAAGAUAUCCAGUGUUCCAAAAUCAUACACGGCGCGAAGGACUUGCUGGUCAUAAUGUUGUAUAAUGUACCUUAAAUACAAGAAGAAAAUAUUUGAAUACAGAGCUGUUAUCCUGUCGAUGCCGGUCAGUCACCAGAGGCGUAGGACUUCGUUACUGGUACCCUAUCAAUGUCACAAGAGAUGUAGGACUUCCUUGCUGGUUUCCUCAGAAAUGUACUUGACACUCAACGAUUUUCCACAAGCACUAUUUCGAUGGGCAAGAAAAGAUGGCUUCGAAGCCUUGGUGGACAUGUCGUCUUGGUUGUAACAGAGAAUUCUCAUUCGCCAUGUACAAAAAGAACAAAAAAAUGAAGAUCACGAUGACAGGCGUCCAAAGCUUGGUUAAGGUAAAGAGAAGACAGUGGUUGGUGUACUAAAAAGACGUAGAAACAUAAACAAUGGCUGAAAACAAACACCAUUCGUGCACUUCGGUGGCUAUAUAUUAUUUCAAGUAGCUGGAAGCCCGAUGUAGGCAAG